CAAAAAAAUGGAUCAAAGCUUUCUUCAACCCAUUUUGCAAGUGUGACAUAUUAUUAAACAACAUGUCUGAAGUCUUCAACAGUUAUAUAUUGGAUGGAAGAGAGCUACCAAUUAAGUCAAUGCUGGAUUAUAUUUUCACGAAGCUCACAAAUAGUAUAGUUGGUAAGCAAAGGGAGUCAGAAAAUUGGACAGGAAGACUGUUCCCCAAGAUUCAGAAGAAACUCGACAAAUACAUUGAGUGGGCAAAGAAUUGCAGGGUGCAAGAGUAUGGUAGAGGUGUGUUCAAAGUUUUCUAUCUACAAAACUCACACAUAGUGGACUUAAAUAUGCUAAGCUAUGACUGCAAAAGAUGGGUACUAUCUGGCAUCCCUUGACAUCAUGCAAUAGCAACUUUCAGGCAUGAGAGGAUUGAACCAGAGAGCAUGGUUCACCCCUGCUAUACAGUGGAGGAGUACAGAAAAUGUUAUGGAUAUAACAUGAUGCCAAUGAGGGAUACAAAGCUAUGGGAGAAAAUGAAUGGGAUUGAUGUGUAUCCAUCAUUAUACAGAAAAGUUAUGGGCAGGCCAAAGAAAAACAAGAAGAAAGAUCCAGAAGAGAAGAGUGACAAAAAUGGAGUAAAGAAGGUGACCAAGCAUGGUGUGACCAUGCACUGUUCAAUAUGUGGAGCAGCUGAUCAUAACAAAAAGGGACACCAUAAUCAUGCUGAUAAGACUCCAAAUGAAGAAGCUGCUAGGGAAUCUGAAUAAGAGUAUGAUGAUCCAUCAAUACUUGCCAACAUAAUGCCACACAGGGUAUACCCUCAGCUGGAUCCAACGCAAACACCUGAUUGUAUGGUGUACAAGAUGCAGGAACAAGCAAUGAUCAUUUCACUAAUUAACUUGUACCCACUCUAUCUCAAUAAAUCAUUAGUAUGUGUGCUCACACUUCCUCUAUCUUAAUUUUUGCAGGAGAGGUUCACAUACCCAGCCCUUAGGGAAUUUAGCCCCUUGCCUGAGUCUACAUUUAUUGCAACCGCUAGAGAAGCAAUGCCAGUAGGCAGAGUGACAAUAGAAAUGGCUAGGGGGAGGGUGAGGAGUCAGCAAGCACCACCUGCAAAUGGAGAGGAAGCAACUCAGUCAAGUCAGCAAGCAGCAGCUGCAACAAGACCCAAGAAAAAACAAGCAAGAGGGGGAGGCAGUGCAGGGAGAGGAGCAACAAAUGCUGCAAGAGGAGGAAGAACUGCUGGGAGGGGAGAAAGAGAUGGUGCAAGAGGAGGAAGAAGUGCUGGUAGAGGAAGAAAUGGUGCAAGAGGAGGAAGAACUGCCGCUGAUACAUUUGAAGGAAGAGGUGCUGCUCCUGAAGAUGUCAGAGGAGCAAGAGCUGCUGCUCCUGGCUUUUACAAUCUCCUGUUUGGAGAUGAUGGAGCUGCUGAUAGAGCACAGUUCGUGCAGGCUGAAGAGGAGGUUCUAUUUAGCCAAAAUGCAUCGUAGUCUGCUCUAUCUCAAGAUAUCUGGCCUGCUGAUGUGCAUGAUUUUCUGUCUCUUUAGUUUACAUCAGAACAAGUUAGAGUUCAUGAAUGAACUUUUGGUUAGGUUUAGUUCAUGAAUGAACUACUACUGCAGUUGGGGUAAAGAUAUAGUAGGCAAGGCCUUUUCCAACUUUAUUUUGCUUUGGUUUUCUCAAUGUUCAGACUGUACGAAACUGUGCUCUAUAUUAAGUAAAUUUCUAUGACAGUGCUAGUAGUUCAAGAGGCCUCCCAGAUCAAUAUUAAGUAAAUUUCUAUGAUUUCUGUAUGAUGGUUUCAAUUGGUUCAUUCUUGAGUUUGUUUUGACAGUGCUUAAUCUAUACUACUGCAGCUGCAAAAUAUACUUAAUCUGUUUUGCCUGAUGCAAAAUAAUAGAAAGAGCAAAAAAAAGUAGCCGACGAGGCACGUAGCGCGGCACAACAACAGCUGGUCAAUGCCGUGUUUGCGGCGUCCCUGUCCACCCAGCAGGCAGACCACAUCAUGCUCCAGGCCGCUCUCGUACGGUGUCGUGCACGCGACGAGCGGAGGGUGGCGGCCGCGGCUGCCAUAGCCUCCAUAAACGGCCGAGAGCGAGAGGUUAUCGAGCUUUCGUCCGCUAUUUAUAGUUCAGUAGCCACUAUCUUCAGUUAUGUUCAGUACACUGAGAUUAGUG